GCUGGGUGUGGUGGCGCACACCUGUAAUCCCAGGUACUCAGGAGGCUGAGGCAGGAGAAUCACUUGAACCCUGGAGGCAGAGGUUGCAGUGAGCCAAGAUGGCGCCACUGCACUCCAGCCUGGGAGACAGAGCGAGACUCUGUCUCAA
ensembl:misc_RNA Metazoa_SRP Metazoan signal recognition particle RNA